CACGUAGUUAGCCGUGGCUUUCUAAUGAGGUACCGUCAAGGUACAAGCAGUUACUCUUGUACUUGUUCUUCCCUCAUAACAGAGCUUUACGAUCCGAAAACCUUCUUCGCUCACGCGGCAUUGCACCAUCAGACUUUCGUCCAUUGUGGAUGACUCCCUACUGCUGCCUCCCGUAGGAGUCUGGGCCGUGUCUCAGUCCCAGUGUGGCCGAUCACCCUCUCAGGUCGGCUACGCAUCGUCGCCUUGGUAAGCCGUUACCUUACCAACUAGCUAAUGCGCCGCGGGCCCAUCCCGUAGCGACAGCCGAAGCCGUCUUUCAGAAUCCUUUCAUGAGAAAGAAUUAAUCAUUCGGUAUUAGCCCCGGUUUCCCGGAGUUAUCCCCAACUACAGGGCAGGUUGCCCACGUGUUACUCACCCAUUCGCCGCUAACGUCAGAGGAGCAAGCUCCUCAUCCGUUCGCUCGACUUGCAUGUAUUAGGCAUGCCGCCAGCGUUCGU
rnacentral:rRNA from 1 species